CUAAAAUGCGCUCGUGCACUAGCGCCCUCUGAAGAAGUGGAUCUAAAUUAUAUAGCAAAAUCCAGUUUUCUGCACAACUUAUGUUACCACACGAGUUCGAUUAUCCAGAGAGAUGGUAAAACAGUUGGAAAAAAAAUGUAAUUUUGCGGCAAUAUAUUUGAUAUUAUAGCAUUA